rnacentral:lncRNA from 1 species
UGGAAGGGAUUACACGCUCUGCCCUUCGAAACCCAAUCCGGGCACAUGAAGUUUUUUGCAGAAUGGAUGUCAGGCCAGGGCAGAAGGUUUCAUGAGCUCUUGCGUCCGUUCCUUCUUUCUUGUCUGACUUGUGUCCAAAAUAAGGUGCUGGCAGCCAGCAAGUUGCUGCGUAUUGUGCAGGAGCGCUAACUUGUUAGAUGAGUGUUGAUUCCAGACUCAGCGUUCCCUCAGCUCUCACUUGUGACAGUGAUUGCCAAAGUUAGUGGUGAACUAGAUAACGUGGGAGGAACAAGCAUAAAGUACUCCUUUGGAUUCCUUUAAAAUUUUUGAGCAGUGACACUUCAUAUGGCCUUGUGUUCUUUAGAUAGCCUAAGGCCACGCAUUGGCUAAGGAAGAAUGCAGAGUCAUUAUUUCUCACUCUGUUUUCAGGCAUGAAACUAAAAUGUGACCUGUGCCAGAACCAAAGAGUUCAUUACUUGAGUAGUAACCAGGAUUGCUAAGAUCAAUUUUUUAAUCAGGGCUUGGUGAAAGACUAAGUUAGCAGAGUGGCUACAAUUUGCAGGAGGCCACCUCCAGGUCUUGAGAGAAAAAGACAGGAUGAGAGAGGCAGGGUGGCAGCUGUGCUGUUUUUCAGGAAAGGUUAAGACAGUGCUCUGGCACAGAGCGAGGGAAAGUGAUCUGCUGGAGGCACCUCAGCCCAAGCACUUGGGGGCAAUUGCCUAGGUGCUGCUUGAGCCUCACCAUUCCUGAAGCCACUGGCUCUGAUGGGGUUACGCCUGUGCCACACAGAAACAUUUAAGCUGAGGAGGAUCCAAACCUGCCUGUUAAGCCAGUAUUACUGAUGAAGGCUGGGGAAAAAACAACCCAUCCUAAAUGAAUUCAUCCACGAUGGAUCCAGGGUGGGCGGAGCCAUCACACGAAAAUGGACCUGGCUUACAUCUUGGCAUCUCAGAGGAGAAUUUUACCUGCCUGUUUAUUUCUUGCAUGGUGCUUCUCAGAAAACAAAUGGUCAACCUGGGAGUCGAACAGAGGCUUGCUGUCCCGAACCCAGGCCGAUACUGCACCCAAGCAGCUGCCCUGUCCUCUUCUCUACUGCUCAGUUACAGAAACUUCAUGUCUGAAACCUGAAACUCCUGGGUAAGCCAUUUAUGCCCAGCUCUGUUCCUUCACAAUCCAUCCAUUUGGGGAAGGAAUGAAAGCCUGCAGUCUGCCUCCUCC